AACUGAUACAUGUAGUUAUCAUAAAUGAUUAACUUUCAAUAAUUUUAAUAACCCCCAAAAAAUCAUGAACUUUAAAUUUAUUCAUGUAAAUAGAUAUAUUGAUAUAUACAUUCGCCAUUUGGGAAAUACAUCUUGUAAUUCAACUUGUGUUUGAUCUUAUACCACCGUUCCCCAUAGGUAUUAGGCCCAUAGGUACUAGGGUGAACGGGAAUCAGAGCAAAUUGACACUGAUACCCUGCUUACAAUCUGUUUUUUAGUGGCUGACUGCUGCAAAUGAAUGGUAUACAUUUUUGUUAAGGGGGUAGCUGAAGCACGCCUCCGGUUGCGGGAGUUUCUCACUGCAUUGAAAACCCAUUAGUGGCCUUCGACUGAUGCCUUCUCUUUGAUGGUUGUUGUCUCUUUGACACAUUCCCCAUUUCCAUUCUCAAUGUUAUACUUUAUCAUAUUCAUUGUAUCUGAUAAAAAUUAAUAGGUUCUAGAUAGACCAACAUCUAUGAUGAGAUUGAUUUAUAACUAGUAUGACUCAUUAAAUGCAAAAUCUAAAAUAAGAUUAUAGUGGUUUUGACAGUUGUUAUCAGACAAAAAGAACCCUAGCCUGCUUACUUGUCAACCCUCAUGCAGGAGUGAACCUUUGAUUAUUAUUGGUGUUAGUAUACUGAAAAUAUUAUGUAACAAACAUAGCUCAGGAGCUUGCAAUUCAGUGGUUGUCGUUUGUUUAUGUGUUACAUAUUUGUUUUUUGUUCAUUUUUUUAUAUAAAUAAGGCCCUUAGAUUUCUCGUUUGAAUUGUUUUACAGUGUCAUUUCAGGGCCUUUUAUAGCUGACUAUGCGGUAUGGGCUUUGCUCAUUGUUAAAGGACGUACAGUUACCUAUAAUUUUUCAUUUCUGUGUCAUUUUGGUCUCUUGUAGAGAGUUGUCUCAUUGGCAAUCAUCCCACCUCUUCUUUUUUAUAUAGCUGUACAUAUCUUAUUACAUCCUUUCUACAUCCAAACAAAAAUGGAAAAAAAAUGUAAAUAAAAAAUUUCUCAGGAGUUUUCCUUCUUCAGUAUUGACUUUUUUUCUGGCUUCUUAGUUUCGAUUUUAUUUACUAAUGACGAUUUGUAUUUGUAAAUUACUGGAAGAAUUAAAUAUAUGUGAUUAUAUGUUACCUUUGGAAACUAUGACAUCUAAAGUAUCUUGAAAAAUUGUUUAAAUUCUGUUUUUAAGAUAUAUCAAUUGCCAACAAACGCCAAUGGGCGAAGGUCAAAUGACCUUACUAGGAACUCUGCAGAUUUUAUCGUGAGUGUAUUCGUAAUCAAAGCUCUUGAACAUAUAUUUUAGAAAACACACAAUACAUUAUUGUGUAUAUGACCUUUGUUUUUUCCUGUUUCAAAUUUAUAUUCCGCAAAGAUUCAAGAUUUUUUUGUUUCUUAAAUACUAAUAAUCAAGAUUAAGAAAUGAAAAGACAAAAAUUUUAAAAUUCAAUAAAACAGAUCUAUGGAAACUGUGAAUGGCAAAAUUUCAAACUUUGGUUGUCCAUUUCGACCAGCUGAAGCCGGCUCGGCAGUACGAGUAAGUUCUCUUUUGAAAAUGAAAAAAAAACCACUAAAAGAUUAAGAUCUUUUAAGUUAAGGUAGAUUCAUGGUAUACCGCCAUCUUGGAUUGUACAAUCACAGUACAAAAUCGCUAGUUAUUUGCCAAUCAGCAAUUUGGAAACAGAUUUGCAAUUUAAUGUUAGACUGUUUAUUUUAUAUAAAGAAAACUUGCUAAUUUAUUGUAUUAUUAAAAAAUUUUAAACAAAUAUCACCUUUUUGUUUUCAAAAAUCAUCUUUUAAAUGAGCAUUUAAGGGAGUCACUCUUUUAGCACAAAAUUUAUCUGGGCUAAUAGGGAAAUUUUUUUUUUUACUUGUGGCAAGAAACAAGUUCGGUGACACCCAGUUUUCUUUUUUUUUUCUUAAAACAUAUUAUAAAACCUAUCUUCUCACAAUUUUUUUCAAAUUCUAUCUCAUGAAAAACGAAAAAAAACACUAAAAGAUUUAGAUCUUUAUAAGUAAGUAUAUAUUAAUUUUUGGAAUUUAAUUUCUUUUCAUAUUGUUCAUCAAAAAUAUUUCACCGAAUAAGGUCCAAAAAUGAAGGUAAAGAUAGAAUUUUAGUGUCAGUUUAAAAUUUUAGAUGUUCAGGACGUAUUAAUGUUGAAAAUAUGCCACACACCGCUAUAUUUUGACCUUUGAUAAAAUAGUACUACUAGAACUAGUCAAAGCUGCAAAGUCAGCUUGUGCCUUAUACAAACUGUCACUUUCUUAAAUUGUGGUUGAACUAAUGUUUAACAAUGAUUAGUGCUCUUGCUCUUGUAAAAACUGUGCUUUAUAUGUUUAUUUAAAAUCAUGUUCUCUUGUGACAUUUAAACAAGUGUGCUUUAACUGUUGUGUAAAAUAACUUAUUGAUUUAGUGCUUUAGUAUAAACAUUAUAAGAAACAUUCAACAUAGGGACUAUUGUUUGAAAUUUUAUAUUGUUCUGUUAUUGUAACUUGUUAUUACAUAUCUUUAAAUAUAUAUGAUGAAUAAAAAUUUGAAAACCC
rnacentral:lncRNA from 1 species